GCAAGAUUUCCCAGUCGACCUGGAGAACUGCAUCACUCUGGAUGAACUGGGAGAAGACCAGUCCCAAGACGCUAACGGUGAAGAAGUCAAAGAUAAACACAAAUCUUCUUCCUGGUCCGGCCGAGUGGUUUUCUUCAACAACAUCCCGCCGCUUCCCUACAGCGACGCCAGCUUCCUCAGUCUGGUCAAAGGUUUGGG